rnacentral:rRNA from 1 species
CGCUUCCUAGCCAAUUUUGGGAGCGCGGCACACAGCUCAGUAACACGUGGCUAACCUGCCCUUGGGACAAGAACAACCCCGGGAAACUGGGGCUAAUUCGUGAUAGGCGAAGAACUCUGGAAUGAGUCUUCACCCAAAAGACGCUUACGCUACGCUUGUAGGCGCCGCCCAAGGAUGGGGCCACGACCGAUCAGGUUGUUGGUGAGGUAAUGGCUCACCAAGCCUUUUACCGGUGCGGGCCGUGAGAGCGGGAGCCCGGAGAUGGGCACUGAGACAAGGGCCCAGGCCCUACGGGGCGCAGCAGUCGCGAAAACUUUGCAAUAAGCGAAAGCUUGACAGGGCUAUCCCGAGUGCCAUCCGCUGAGGAAGGCUUUUACCCAGUCUAGAACGCUGGGGGAAUAAGGAGAGGGCAAGUCUGGUGUCAGCCGCCGCGGUAAUACCAGCUCUCCGAGUGGUGUGGAUGUUUAUUGGGCCUAAAGCAUCCGUAGCUGGCUAGGUUAGUCCCUUGUUAAAUCCACCGAAUUAAUCGUUGGAUUGCGGGGGAUACUGCCUGGCUAGGGGACGAGAGAGGCAGACGGUAUUUCCGGGGUAGGGGUGAAAUCCUAUAAUCCCGGGAGGACCACCAGUGGCGAAGGCUGUCUGCUAGAACGCGCCCGACGGUGAGGGAUGAAAGCUGGGGGAGCGAACCGGAUUAGAUACCCGGGUAGUCCCAGCUGUAAACGAUGCAGACUAGGUGUUUGGACGGCCACGUGCCGUUCUAGUGCCGCAGGGAAGCUGUUAAGUCUGCCGCCUGGGGAGUACGAUCGCAAGAUUGAAACUUAAAGGAAUUGGCGGGGGAGCACCACAAGGGGUGAAGCUUGCGGUUUAAUUGGAGUCAACGCCGGAAAU